AUUAAAGCUUGCUUUAAAUUGAGGCCGCCCGGGGGGGGGGGUGAGUAACCUCGUAUCCCACCCUACCGUAUACACGGGGAUAGCCUUUCGAAGGAAAGUUUUAAUACCCGAAGGGCGUCAAAGAAAAGAGCAUGGUUUUUUUUGCUAAAGAUUUACUUGGUAUAUGAUGGGGAUGCGUUCCAUUAGAUAGUUGGUAGGGUAACGGCCUACCAAGUCAGCGAUGGAUAGGGGUUGUGAGAGGAAGACCCCCCACAUUGGAACUGAGACACGGUCCAAACUCCUACGGGAGGCAGCAGUGAGGAAUCUUGGUCAAUGGGCGCAAUGCCUGAACCAGCCAAGUAGCGUGAAGGAAGACUGCCCUUAGGGUUGUAAACUUCUUUUAUAAGGGAAUAACGAUAGCAACGAGUUGCUAUUUGCAUGUACCUUACGAAUAAGGAUCGGCUAACUCCGUGCCAGCAGCCGCGGUAAUACGGAGGAUCCAAGCGUUAUCCGGAUUUAUUGGGUUUAAAGGGUGCGUAGGCGGGAAAGGAAGUCAGUUGUGAAAUGUAGUGGCUCAACCUCUGCACUGCAGCGCGAACUGGUCUUCUUGAGUACGCACAACGUGGGCGGAAUUCGUGGUGUAGCGGUGAAAUGCUUAGAUAUCACGAAGAACUCCGAUUGCGAAGGCAGCUCACGGGAGCGCAACUGACGCUGAAGCUCGAAAGUGCGGGUAUCGAACAGGAUUAGAUACCCUGGUAGUCCCCACGGUAAACGAUGGAUGCCCAGCUGUUGGCCUGAAUACGUCAGCGGCCAAGCGAAAGC
rnacentral:rRNA from 1 species